AAUCAACGCUGGCGGCGUGCCUCAGACAUGCAAGUCGAACGCGAAAGUUCCCUUCGGGGAGCGAGUAGAGUGGCGUCCGGGUGAGUAACACGUAGGUAAUCUACCUUUGGGUGGGGAAUAACAACCGGAAACGGUUGCUAAUACCGCAUAAUGCAGCGGCACCGCAUGGUGACAGUUGUUAAAGCGGGGGAUCGCAAGACCUCGCGCCUAGAGAGGAGCCUGUGGCGGAUUAGCUAGUUGGCAGGGUAACGGCCUACCAAGGCAACGAUC
rnacentral:rRNA from 1 species